CCUGCAUCUUCUGCAUUGCAGGUAGAUCCUUUACCAUUGAGCCACCGGGGAAGCCCUCCCAGAUCCAGUGAAUCUCACCAAAAGGACCCAAGAGAUGAUAAUGGAUUCCUAGAAAGGGCAUUAAUCCGUGUGGAGAUAAUUGAAAUAAGAUGGCACCCUUUUCAACACUGUUCAGAUGUAACUGAAGUGAUGAGGUGGGAUUCCUAGGUGGCUUGUAGCCUCAACUCUAUUACUUUAAGACUGCAGCGUGUAUCUCAGUUGUUCCUUUCCAUUACUUAAACAGCCGUAAAGUCACUCGUGCAUUUUAACUGGCAGGCCUGGGUGGAGUUUGCCAGUGAGGCAGCUUAGUGGAAAUGGAAGAAAGUUCCCCAAGAUGCCUGAGGAAAGAAACCUUCAUUUGAGGUGGCCUUGGGGUGCUCUCUAAUGAUGUGCCCUGUAGAUUCAGUAACAUCCACCAGAAAUCUCAGGUGUGGCCUAGAAUGAAGAAAAGGAAGAGACAGGAAACACAAAAGAGAAAACAGAAGGGGAGAGAGGGAGAAAAAAAAAAUGGAAGCAGAUCUGAUGGAGUGAGAUAGUGAACUGGCCACAUGAGGGAAGGCCCAGCUGUGAGAAAUUGUCCUGAGCGGGGAAACUCCGAGACCUGCCCUGCCCACCUGUACCUGGCGUUGACCCCCCCUCUUCUGUGCAUGCUCUAGCUGCUAAACGCCAGCCAUCUGAAAGAUACUAGCAAUCAGAAGACAGAGGCCAGUGUUCAAAGAAGCUCAGAAAGAGGGGCCAGUUUGAUCCUUUGUGGCUGAUUCCGUGGCUGUUGCUGCGCCUGGGGCGGUAGACCCUUUGACUACCGUAAUUACCCGCCCCCUGCACCCCCACACCCUCUUUGCAGCUUCACACUUCCUGGCCUCAGGUCCCAGCCCUGAAAUUCUCCCGCGGAGCAGGAGGAAGUCCAGGAAGCAGUCUGCACUCCUGGCGAGAAGCGACCAGGUGCGACCACGUGCUCCAGGGCACAUGAGAAACUUGAUCCUCAGAGGCUUGCUUGGUGAGCAGGACAAGGAACAAAGAAAGCCCUUGGAGAUACAAUUGCAAAACACUCAAAUUAUGAUGAAUUCCUUGAAGGACAAAGGAGCUCUGGAUCAUACUAAGUGCCCAUCUGCAGCCUGGGCGGUGCCACACUCUCAUCCAAUUGUGGCGACAGACCACAGAGGGAGGACUUUUUUCACUGCCAUGAAACUUGAUACACCGUGUGCACAGAUACACAGCUGUCCUCCCUGGGCACUCACAGGCCAGCAUGCACAUGAGCACAUUUGAUGUGGUCAGAUCACACCCACUCGGGACAAGGGUAUCCCAGGCAGCCUGGAUUCUGUUGGUCCUAAUGACAGACAUGAGUACAGAGCUCCCUGUCGAUGUGUGAUCCAAAACAAAGAUAAAAUCAGCUCUAGAACAACAGAAACAAGUGAUCUAUUCAUUACAUUGUGGAUGCUUUGGAACUGUGGUGUUGGAGAAGACUCUUGAGAGUCCCUCGGGCUGCAAGGAGAUCCAACCAGUCCAUCCUAAAGGAAACCAGUCCUGAAUAUGCAUUGGAAAGAGG